rnacentral:rRNA from 1 species
UGCCGCGUGCAGGAUGAAGGCCUUCGGGUUGUAAACUGCUUUUGUACGGAACGAAACGGUGAGCUCUAAUACAGUUUGCUAAUGACGGUACCGUAAGAAUAAGCACCGGCUAACUACGUGCCAGCAGCCGCGGUAAUACGUAGGGUGCGAGCGUUAAUCGGAAUUACUGGGCGUAAAGCGUGCGCAGGCGGUUAUAUAAGACAGAUGUGAAAUCCCCGGGCUCAACCUGGGACCUGCAUUUGUGACUGUAUAGCUAGAGUACGGUAGAGGGGGAUGGAAUUCCGCGUGUAGCAGUGAAAUGCGUAGAUAUGCGGAGGAACACCGAUGGCGAAGGCAAUCCCCUGGACCUGUACUGACGCUCAUGCACGAAAGCGUGGGGAGCAAACAGGAUUAAAUACCCUGGUAGUCCACGCCCUAAACGAUGUCAACUGGUUGUUGGNUCUUCACUGACUCACUAACGAAGCUAA